GACACAUUUCACCUUUCCACACCAUGAUGUACUCCAGCAACAUCUCUGCUCAAGAUCACGCAACUCACUUUUCCAUAAGGACCAGGAAAGAGAAGGAGACGAUUUGCUGCCUGUUUUCUCCUUGGUGAAAGGCUUCAAUUGCUGUGAGAUCUACACAGGAGAUCUUGAGGUACAAAGCACUUCACUAAAAUCAUAGAUCCUAAGCCUAAAAGAAGCUACCGGAAUAACAAAAGAGUGAGAGAUUUCCUGUCAUUGCUCACAGCCUCUGCACCUUGAUGGCCUCUCCUGAGUACCAGCAGUGACUCCACAUAUCCAGCCUUAUGAUGAGUGCUCUGCAGAGUGGUACGUAAAGGUGAAACGAGUGACACAAGAUGAAAAAGGACAAAUGCCCAUUCUCUAGAAAGGACUAACAAGGGGACUGUCUAUGUAUGCGGGAUGCUGCAAAUUCAAGAGCACAGUCACAUCUCACCUUCAGCCUUGCAAGCUCAGCUGUAGCAAUGUUAGCAUGCUGACAGGGUGUGUAGGAGUGGGGGGUAUCAGCUAACAGAGAAAACCUACAUCCAUGCAAUCCUUUGCAGCACUGGAAUGGAAAUAACUGAGAACAGCUUGCUUUGUUGAAGGCAUCACUGCUGUACACCUUCAUUGCUGUAACCAGUCUGAAAGGAAUAACUACGGUCUUUACUAAUGCUGUCUCUGCCACUACUGUUUGUUUUUUUAUCUGUUGUUGUUUUUUAUUAAAUAACUCC
ensembl:lncRNA